UGGGCUAUCGCCAAGCGGUAAGGCACAGGAUUUUGAUUCCUGCAUUCAUUGGUUCAAAUCCAACUAGCCCAG
rnacentral:tRNA from 1 species